rnacentral:lncRNA from 1 species
UCCAGAUGAGCUGUUUGUGAUGGAAUGGGUUGGUGAAGACCGCUACAUUAUUGGGAUCUAAGUGUAUUCUGUUGGGAUUCUCUAGGUUCUUUGAGGGAAGGUACCAGAUGGCAGUGAAGAGAAGGCUAACCUUUUGGAGCAACAAAGAGGAGAAAGAAGAUGAGGAAUCGUUUGUAUGGAAGAAUAUGGCCCCUGGGACUCAGCAAAUGCAGGUGUGGCCCACGAUCAGCUGCAGGAGCUCUUUAUAGCAUUUCAAGUUUCUUCCUAAAUCAGAAUCUGCAUUUGAUAACAUCCCAGCUCCCAACACACUUCAAUAAUGGACACAAAGUAAGCUAAUCUCUAUCAACAGGAUAAAUGCCCUGCACUUCUUAGAUCACAUGAACUGAAUUCCCCAGCAUCCAGGCUAUGUUUGGAAACGACGCGGUAGAUGGGGCUCAGGGUGAGGCAAGACCCAAGUGGCAUAUUUUGAAGACAUUUUAAUUUAUUGUCCAUUGAUGGAGGAAAGAGAAUGAAGUUAGGAAAACAAUGCUGACCUUGUGUUUCUAUCCUCUGCUCUGUCUGUCCUCCAGGAGCCUGAGAGGGCCGCUCAGGAAUUUGCUGAGUAAAUGCCGUUUUCAAAGCAGUAUUUUGUUCAUUUGUACAACAGAAACUCUAGUGUUUGCCUAGCCCACCUCUCUUGAGGCAGUAGGAAAUCAAGGAGAUCAGACAGACACAUACAAGAACUGGAACAGUGUUGGCGUGGAACACUUCAUUACCACACCCUUAAAGGCACGGUGGGCCAGGAAUGACUGACUCCCACCUGAAGGUCAAGUUCAAGGUUCAGUCCAUGUUCUCAGUUGCCUGGGAAAAAGGGUGAUCUGGCCUCUUACAAACACAAAAGUAUGGCACAAAAUCACCAUUUAAUAUGGACCUUGGUUUUGUUUCCACAAAGCAUCAGGUAAAACAUGAUUGAAAAAGAGUCUUUGAAGCAACAUUCCCUAUAAACUAAGAUCAUGCGAUGUCCAUGAGUCCAUGAAUGAGGUAGCAUUUGGCUUUAUAAUGGAACCUAAUCACAUUUCCCAUAGAAAUACAAAGGAACAUUGACCAUUAUGCUUUUUAAUUAUAAAGUCUACCUGAAAUGCAA